UACGGGGGGGGGCAAGCGUUGUUCGGAAUUACUGGGCGUAAAGGGCUCGUAGGUGGCCAACUAAGUCAGACGUGAAAUCCCCAGGCUUAACCUGGGAACUGCGUCUGAUACUGGAUGGCUUGAAUUCGGGAGAGGGAUGCAGAAUUCCAGGUGUAGCGGUGAAAUGCGUAGAUAUCGGAAGGAACAUCAGUGGCGAAAGCGACUUCCUGGACCAAUACUGACGCUCAUGUGCGAAAGCGUGGGGAGCAAACAGG
rnacentral:rRNA from 1 species